GGGGCACCCUGAUCCAGCAAUGCCGCGUGUGUGAAGAAGGCCUUCGGGUUGUAAAGCACUUUUGUCCGGAAAGAAAACCAUCGCCCUAAUAUGGUGGUGGGAUGACGGUACCGGAAGAAUAAGCACCGGCUAACUACGUGCCAGCAGCCGCGGUAAUACGUAGGGUGCGAGCGUUAAUCGGAAUUACUGGGCGUAAAGCGUGCGCAGGCGGUCUGUUAAGACCGAUGUGAAAUCCCCGGGCUUAACCUGGGAACUGCAUUGGUGACUGGCAGGCUUUGAGUGUGGCAGAGGGGGGUAGAAUUCCACGUGUAGCAGUGAAAUGCGUAGAGAUGUGGAGGAAUACCGAUGGCGAAGGCAGCCCCCUGGGCCAACACUGACGCUCAUGCACGAAAGCGUGGGGAGCAAACAGGAUUAGAUACCCUGGUAGUCCACGCCCUAAACGAUGUCAACUAGUUGUUGGGGAUUCAUUUCCUUAGUAACGUAGCUAACGCGUGAAGUUGACCGCCUGGGGAGUACGGUCGCAAGAUUAAAACUCAAAGGAAUUGACGGGGACCCGCACAAGCGGUGGAUGAUGUGGAUUAAUUCGAUGCAACGCGAAAAACCUUACCUACCCUUGACAUGGUCGGAAUCCCGCUGA
rnacentral:rRNA from 1 species